AACGAACGCUGGCGGCAUGCCUAACACAUGCAAGUCGAACGGGAUCCAGGCUUCGGCCUGGUGAGAGUGGCGGACGGGUGAGUAACACGUGGGAACCUGCCUUUUGGUUCGGGAUAACCGCGGGAAACUGCGGCUAAUACCGGAUGCUCCCGAGAGGGGAAAGAUUUAUCGCCAGAAGAGGGGCCCGCGUCCGAUUAGGUAGUUGGUGAGGUAAUGGCUCACCAAGCCGACGAUCGGUAGCUGGUCUGAGAGGAUGAUCAGCCACACUGGGACUGAGAUACGGCCCAGACUCCUACGGGAGGCAGCAGUGGGGAAUAUUGGACAAUGGGGGCAACCCUGAUCCAGCAAUGCCGCGUGGGUGAUGAAGGCCUUAGGGUUGUAAAGCUCUUUUGCCAGGGAAGAUGAUGACUGUACCUGGAGAAUAAGCCCCGGCUAACUUCGUGCCAGCAGCCGCGGUAAU
rnacentral:rRNA from 1 species